GCAAGUCGAACGAGAAAGGGAUUGCUUGCAAUCCUGAGUAGAGUGGCGCACGGGUGAGUAACACGUAGAUAAUCUACCUUCAAGCCCGGAAUAACUAUUCGUAAGGAUAGCUAAUACCGGAUGAAGUGUUAAAGCCUAAGUUUUACCAUGAAAGAUUGCCUCUUCUUGAAAGCAAUUGUUUGGAGAUGAGUCUGCGGACCAUUAGUUUGUUGGUGGGGUAAAAGCCUACCAAGGCUGCGAUAGUUAGCUGGUCUGAGAGGACGAUC
rnacentral:rRNA from 1 species